rnacentral:rRNA from 1 species
CAAUAGCGUAUAUUAAAGUUGUUGCGGUUAAAAAGCUCGUAGUUGGAUUUCUGCUGAGAACGACCGGUCCGCCCUCUGGGUGUGUAUCUGGCUCUUUCUUGGCUUCUUCUUGGUGAACGUUGCUGCACUUGACUGUGUGGAGCGCUACCCAGGACUUUUACUUUGAGGAAAUUAGAGUGUUUCAAGCAGGCAUACGCCUUGAAUACAUUAGCAUGGAAUAAUAAGAUAGGACCUCGGUUCUAUUUUGUUGGUUUCUAGAGCUGAGGUAAUGAUUAAUAGGGAUAGUUGGGGGCAUUCGUAUUUAACUGUCAGAGGUGAAAUUCUUGGAUUUGUUAAAGACGGACUACUGCGAANGNAUUUGCNAAGGAUGUUUNCAUUG